AGAGUUUGAUCCUGGCUCAGGAUGAACGCUAGCUACAGGCUUAACACAUGCAAGUCGAGGGGAAACGACAUCGAAAGCUUGCUUUUGAUGGGCGUCGACCGGCGCACGGGUGAGUAACGCGUAUCCAACCUGCCCACCACUUGGGGAUAACCUUGCGAAAGUAAGACUAAUACCCAAUGAUAUCUCUAGAAGACAUCUGAAAGAGAUUAAAGAUUUAUCGGUGAUGGAUGGGGACGCGUCUGAUUAGCUAGUUGGUGGGGUAACGGCCCACCAAGGCGACGAUCAGUAGCCGGUCUGAGAGGAUGAACGGCCACAUUGGGACUGAGAUACGGCCCAGACUCCUACGGGAGGCAGCAGUGGGGAAUAUUGGGCGAUGGGCGAAAGCCUGACCCAGCAACGCCGCGUGAAGGAAGAAGGCCUUCGGGUUGUAAACUUCUCUUACCAGGGACGAAGGACGUGACGGUACCUGGAGAAAAAGCAACGGCUAACUACGUGCCAGCAGCCGCGGUAAUACGUAGGUUGCAAGCGUUGUCCGGAUUUACUGGGUGUAAAGGGCGUGUAGGCGGAGAUGCAAGUUAGGAGUGAAAUCUGUGGGCUCAACCCAUAAACUGCUUCUAAAACUGUAUCCCUUGAGUAUCGGAGAGGCAAGCGGAAUUCCUAGUGUAGCGGUGAAAUGCGUAGAUAUUAGGAGGAACACCAGUGGCGAAGGCGGCUUGCUGGACGACAACUGACGCUGAGGCGCGAAAGCGUGGGGAGCAAACAGGAUUAGUUACCCUGGUAGUCCACGCUGUAAACGAUGAAUACUAGGUGUGGGGGGACUGACCCCCUCCGUGCCGCAGUUAACACAAUAAGUAUUCCACCUGGGGAGUACGACCGCAAGGUUGAAACUCAAAGGAAUUGACGGGGGCCCGCACAAGCAGUGGAUUAUGUGGUUUAAUUCGACGCAACGCGAAGAACCUUACCAGGACUUGACAUCCAACUAACGAAGUAGAGAUACAUCAGGUGCCCUUCGGGGAAAGUUGAGACAGGUGGUGCAUGGUUGUCGUCAGCUCGUGUCGUGAGAUGUUGGGUUAAGUCCCGCAACGAGCGCAACCCCUAUUGUUAGUUGCUACGAAAGAGCACUCUAGCGAGACUGCCGUUGACAAAACGGAGGAAGGCGGGGACGACGUCAAAUCAUCAUGCCCCUUAUGUCCUGGGCUACACACGUAAUACAAUGGUGGCCAACAGAGGGAAGCGAAGCCGUGAGGCGGAGCAAAUCCCUAAAAGCCAUCUCAGUUCGGAUUGCAGGCUGCAACUCGCCUGCAUGAAGCUGGAAUUGCUAGUAAUCGCGGAUCAGCAUGCCGCGGUGAAUACGUUCCCGGGCCUUGUACACACCGCCCGUCACACCAUGAGAGUCGGGAACACCCGAAGUCCGUAGUCUAACCGCAAGGGGGGCGCGGCCGAAGGUGGGUCCGGUAAUUGGGGUGAAGUCGUAACAAGGUA
rnacentral:rRNA from 1 species